rnacentral:rRNA from 1 species
GAUCCUGGCUCAGGACGAACGCUGGCGGCGUGCCUAACACAUGCAAGUCGAGCGAGGAGAGUUCCUUCGGGAACAAACCUAGCGGCGGACGGGUGAGUAACACGUGGGCAACCUGCCUUAUAGAGGGGAAUAGCCUUCCGAAAGGAAGAUUAAUACCGCAUAACAUUGCACUUUCGCAUGAGAGAGUAAUUAAAGGAGCAAUCCGCUAUAAGAUGGGCCCGCGGCGCAUUAGCUAGUUGGUGAGG